UAACGCGUGAGGAACCUGCCUCAUACAGGGGGAUAACGAUUGGAAACGAUUGCUAAUACCGCAUAAGCGCACAGUACCACAUGGUGCAGUGUGAAAAACUCCGGUGGUAUGAGAUGGACCCGCGUCUGAUUAGCUAGUUGGUGAGGUAACGGCCCACCAAGGCAACGAUCAGUAGCCGACCUGAGAGGGUGACCGGCCACAUUGGGACUGAGACACGGCCCAG
rnacentral:rRNA from 1 species